AUGACAGAGAAACUCCAGAUAGGUGGCAGAAUGUUGCCAACAUGGUUGGAAAAUCAAUUGAAGAUGUUAAAAGACAUUAUGAGAUCCUCAAAGAAGAUGUUAGGCGCAUUGAACAUGGUCAAGUUGCAUUCCCUUACAGAACAAACAACAACUAACACAAAGGUUCUUAAUUCAGAAUUCAACAAAAUUGAAGACUCGUCAUCGACAGUGAAUUAA